UUACUAUUUUCUCCGUCCGAAAAUACUUGUCAUAAGAAUGAAUAUAUCUAGAUGUAUUUUAGUUUUAAAUACAUCCAUGUUUUAUAUAUUUGUGUGACAAGUAAUUCGGACAGAGGAAGUAUAUU
rfam:Hordeum vulgare subsp. vulgare, WGS project CAJW01000000 data, contig: morex_contig_63655